rnacentral:rRNA from 1 species
AUUGAACGCUGGCGGCAGGCUUAACACAUGCAAGUCGAGCGGGGUGAUGGUGCUUGCACUAUCACUUAGCGGCGGACGGGUGAGUAAUGCUUAGGAAUCUGCCUAUUAGUGGGGGACAACAUCUCGAAAGGGAUGCUAAUACCGCAUACGUCCUACGGGAGAAAGCAGGGGAUCACUUGUGCCCUUGCGCUAAUAGAUGAGCCUAAGUCGGAUUAGCUAGUUGGUGGGGUAAAGGCCUACCAAGGCGACGAUCGGUAGCGGGUCUGAGAGGAUGAUCCGCCACACUGGGACUGAGACACGGCCCAGACUCCUACGGGAGGCAGCAGUGGGGAAUAUUGGACAAUGGGGGGAACCCUGAUCCAGCCAUGCCGCGUGUGUGAAGAAGGCCUUAUGGUUGUAAAGCACUUUAAGCGAGGAGGAGGCUCUUUUGGUUAAUACCCAAGAUGAGUGGACGUUACUCGCAGAAUAAGCACCGGCUAACUCUGUGCCAGCAGCCGCCGUAA